rnacentral:rRNA from 1 species
UACGGAGGGUGCGAGCGUUGUUCGGAAUCACUGGGCGUAAAGGGCGUGUAGGCGGUCCGCUAAGUCUGAUGUGAAAGCCCGGGGCUCACCCCCGGAAGGGCAUUGGAAACUGGCGGACUCGAGUCCCGGAGAGGAGGGUGGAAUUCCUGGUGUAGCGGUGAAAUGCGUAGAUAUCAGGAGGAACACCGGUGGCGAAGGCGGCCCUCUGGACGGUGACUGACGCUGAGACGCGAAAGCGUGGGGAGCAAACAGG